rnacentral:rRNA from 1 species
AGAGUUUGAUCCUGGCUCAGAGCGGACGCUGGCGGCAGGCUUAACACAUGCAAGUCGAACGGGUAUCUUCGGAUACUAGUGGCAGACGGGUGAGUAACACGUGGGAACGUACCUUUCGGUUCGGAAUAAUACAGGGAAACUUGUACUAAUACCGGAUACGCCCUUCGGGGGAAAGAUUUAUCGCCGAUAGAUCGGCCCGCGUCUGAUUAGCUAGUUGGUGAGGUAAUGGCCCACCAAGGCGACGAUCAGUAGCUGGUCUGAGAGGAUGAUCAGCCACACUGGGACUGAGACACGGCCCAGACUCCUACGGGAGGCAGCAGUGG